UUCAGAUGGAGGAGGGCAGGAACACAGAGGAUGCGAUGUAUAUCAUAUAUCAAAGUAGACACAAAUAAAAAAUACGCACAUAUGAUGGGUAUAAUCCUUAUAUCAUGACGAGGGCCGAGUUUUCCUCUGAAGUAAAAUAUAUUUGCCUGCCAUUGAGGCAGCCGCAGUAGAUAGCUACUACAGUAUCAUAGAUAUAUACACUAGAUAUCGCAUAGGGACCCUGAGCAUGCGUCUAUAGCGCCGCCACAUUUGUACAGUGCUCACAGGACAAAUGUCAUUCAACACCACUAGUCAAGUGUUAUUACGUGAAGAUGCUGGACUUUAGCGCUGUCGUGGACCGUUCAUGUAAAAACUUGCAACCUUUCAGAACAAAAGUGUGUCUUGCGGCUCCUCCGGGCCCCUGAGAGCCCAGUGACCUCUGAGGCGGCUUCAAAGAGAGCGGCAGGGGGGCGGAGUCAGACUCGACGCAUCACAAUGACACCCCACCCACUCUCUGCCCUCACUUUCCUCAAGUAUGCGAAUAUCAAUGACCGCUGUCCUCUCUCUGUGACCUCUCUAUCACUUCACCUCUGGUACUUUAAUUCUUUCAGCUCGUCACUGCAGAUAAUUAAACUGGUAUUUUAAAGGGAUAGUUCAACCAAAAUUGCAAAAUCGGUCAUCUUUUAUUCAAACUUCACUUUUGAUUAUUUUGAAUAUUUUUCUGCUGAACAUAAAAGAUAUUUUGAGGGCUUUAAACUCUAAACCAUUGACAUCCAUAGUAUUUUUUCCAGUUUAUUUUAUAAUAAUAAUAAUAAUAAUAAUAAUAAUAAUAAUAAUAAUAAUAAUAAUAAUUUUU
rnacentral:lncRNA from 1 species